GGACCCGCACAAGCGGUGGAUUAUGUGGAUUAAUUCGAUGCAACGCGAAAAACCUUACCUACCCUUGACAUGUCCUGAAGCCUGGUGAGAGCCGGGUGUGCCCGAAAGGGAACGGGAACACAGGUGCUGCAUGGCUGUCGUCAGCUCGUGUCGUGAGAUGUUGGGUUAAGUCCCGCAACGAGCGCAACCCUUGUCAUUAGUUGCUACAUUCAGUUGGGCACUCUAAUGAGACUGCCGGUGACAAACCGGAGGAAGGUGGGGAUGACGUCAAGUCCUCAUGGCCCUUAUGGGUAGGGCUUCACACGUAAUACAAUGGCGCGUACAGAGGGCUGCUAAGCCGCGAGGUAGAGCCAAUCCCUUAAAGCGCGUCGUAGUCCGGAUUGCAGUCUGCAACUCGACUGCAUGAAGUCGGAAUCGCUAGUAAUCGCGGAUCAGCAUGUCGCGGUGAAUACGUUCCCGGGUCUU
rnacentral:rRNA from 1 species